AGGACGAACGCUGGCGGCGUGCUUAACACAUGCAAGUCGAGCGGAAAGGCCCUUCGGGGUACUCGAGCGGCGAACGGGUGAGUAACACGUGAGUAAUCUGCCCCUAGCUCUGGGAUAGCUCCGGGAAACCGGGAUUAAUACCGGAUACGACCACCUUAGACAUCUUUUGUGGUGGAAAGAAUUUCGGCUAGGGAUGAGCUCGCGGCCUAUCAGCUUGUUGGUGGGUAACGGCCUACCAAGGCGACGACGGGU
rnacentral:rRNA from 1 species